GUAAGUCAACUGUGUAACCUGACAUAGAUCAAUGAUCCUCAACCGGUAAACAAAAAAUCUAAGAAAACGUAUACUUUUCUUUUCUCAAUCAAUUUUCUCUUGGCUGCCUGCACUUUCGUUCUGAGGGUUGCCAGUACUGAUCUGAGGGUUGCCGCUAAUGUUCUGAGGGUUUUCGAUGCUGUUCUGAGGAUUGUCAGUGCUGUCUUGAAGGUCGGUGUUGUGCUGAAGGUUGUCGUUGCUGUCCUGAGGGUUUCCGAUGCUGUUCUGAGGAUUGUCAGUGAUGUCUUUAAGGUUUCUGGUGUUGUUCUGAGGGUUGUCGUUGCUGUCCUGAGGGUUUCCAAUGCUGUUCUGAGGAUUGUCAGUGAUGCCUUGAAGGUUUCUGGUGUUGUUCUGAGGGUUGUCGAUGCUGUCCUGAGGGUUUCUGCUGCUGAUCUGUGGGUUUCUGGCUUGAGCACGGGCAAUGGAUGGAGUAGAAUCCAAAAGACUGGCAGCUAUAGCAGCUUUCAAGUCCUCAUCUUCCAUUUC
rnacentral:lncRNA from 1 species